CGGCCCCUACGGGGGGCAGCAGUGAGGAAUAUUGGUCAAUGGUCGGGAGACUGAACCAGCCAAGCCGCGUGAGGGAGGAAGGUACAGAGUAUCGUAAACCUCUUUUGUCAGGGAACAAAGACUGGGACGCGUCCCCGGAUGAGUGUACCUGAAGAAAAAGCAUCGGCUAACUCCGUGCCAGCAGCCGCGGUAAUACGGAGGAUGCGAGCGUUAUCCGGAUUUAUUGGGUUUAAAGGGUGCGCAGGCGGUCUGUUAAGUCAGCGGUCAAAGCCCGGGGCUCAAUCCCGGCCCGCCGUUGAAACUGG
rnacentral:rRNA from 1 species